CAGCAGCCGCGGUAAUACGGAGGGAGCUAGCGUUGUUCGGAAUUACUGGGCGUAAAGCGCACGUAGGCGGCUAUUCAAGUCAGAGGUGAAAGCCCGGGGCUCAACCCCGGAACUGCCUUUGAAACUAGAUAGCUUGAAUCCAGGAGAGGUGAGUGGAAUUCCGAGUGUAGAGGUGAAAUUCGUAGAUAUUCGGAAGAACACCAGUGGCGAAGGCGGCUCACUGGACUGGUAUUGACGCUGAGGUGCGAAAGCGUGGGGAGCAAACAGGAUUAGAUACCCGAGUAGUCCCUGUCUCUUAUAC
rnacentral:rRNA from 1 species